CUCUCUUCUUUUGUGGGCACAUACCACCUUAGGCUGCCAGGUUACAGACUUUAGUGUCAUGAAUUGUAGCCACAUCACUGCAGAGUUUCCAGCAAUGGUUGCCAUGGCACCAGGUGGCCUAAUCAUCAGUGUUUCAACAGUAUAGAGGCAGCAACACCUACUCAAAAAACUAGAGGACUAUUGGUGGACAUAGCAGGUUUCCUGGAUUUCUGUCAAUAGAAGAUUACCAAAUUAGGCCCAGAUCCCUUGGCAGAGGGAACAUUGCUGGAGUUCCUGGAGAAAUUCCAGGAAGGAAAGCAUGAGAGAGAGAAGAACCAUAUUAUUUGUGAUAAACGGAAUGAGACUCAGUGACAUUUAAUGUGACUAUUAAAAAUAAUGAGUUGCUGUUCUAUGCCCUGAGCUGAAGUUUUCACUGGCUUACCCAUAGCCCCUGGUGGACCCAGAGUUCACAUACAGGCAAUGCCUGUGCAUAGCAAAGCUUCAGUCAUCUCUCUCUGGAAAGAGCUGGAGAACGUUCAGACCAUGCACAGGGCAGCCCAGAGGGCCAAGAGCUCACACUCAGGAAUUGCACUCACUGACUGCCAGUACUUAAGAGUCAUUACCUUAUUCUUCUGCAGUGCUUACAAGGUGGAAGAGGAAUAAACAAUAAGCACAAACGGGACGUCUAAUAGUGGAUGGAGCCCAAGAUCUUGGAGAAGCGAGUGUUUCUGACGGGUUCAAGUUUCAUGCACUCAGCAUGCCUUCAUCAGUUCCUAUUUUGUGCAGAUACCCACCCUCUGCCAUGUACCAUACAUGCCUCAGGGGACACUGAGCUCUGUUUAGCUGUAGUAAGCCAAGGGUGACCACAUCUUGCUCGUGAUUUGCUGGGAAUCUUCCUAUCUUCUUGGUGAGUGUCCAGUAGUAUUCCUCCAUCUCUUCCCCCAGACACCGGGUGGGCAGUGUGGAACAGCCAUGGCCACCUCCUCACCAGAGGACAUGGGGUCGGUGAGAACCAAAAGAAUAACCGAGAAUAGAGCUAGAAUCACUGCGUUAAGUUCACCCUCAAACCUCCUCUCUCUCUGGACUUCAAGUUAUGUGAGCCAAUAAGUUUGCUUAUGCCAAUUUGAUUGGGGCUCUCUGUCAUUGGCAGUUGAAGUCAUCCUGAUGGAUACAGCACUCUAUAAAAGGUUCCCUCCCUGGGCACCCUCAACAACCUUCUCAGAAUCUGUCUCCAGGAUCUGUUUGCCUGUGUCACCUCUCCUUUUCUGAAGAAUGUUUGCAUUGGAUCUGGGUUCUAGUCUCUGCUUAGCCCCUGUGGACUGGCUCACCUUGCCCUUUGCUUUGCGUUGCUCCUUAAGGCCUCACUCAGCCAUGACUUGCAGGGAGUCCAGUCAAUGUCAGAACCCUGGACAUCCUGCUUGCCUGGAAGAGGCCCCAGGUUUCCUGGAGUUCCCAUAUGUCCCAGUCUCCCAGGACCACUCCCGAAGGGCAGCUCUGCCAAGCCAGUGUCCUCCAGGUGCCCCCAGCUCCGUAGCUGGAACCAAAAAGUGCAUGUAAGGAAGUUUAGGAGUUGUGUGACGCUCUCAGCUUAAGCCUCUACAGCCUUAUACUGAGGCCUGUGUUGUUUUUUUUCUAAAAUGAUGCCCUUAGACUACCAGAAUCAGAAUCAUCAGUAUCAUGACCAGCAAGUUUUCCAGACUUACUGAAUAAUAUUCCUGGAAUUGAGUUAUGAAAACCCUAUUUUUCACAGCCUAAACCCUGGUUAUUUCACAUUCUGGCUAACCCCAAAGACAGCUCAGCUUCCAGCCUCAGCAUGUGAUGAAACAGAGGCCAAGGCAAAGAGGGAGGGACUGGGAAGGAGACAGGAUUAUGAAGGCGAAGGGAGAAGUGUGAUAGAAAGUUGUUAGACUUUUCCGGGUGCGCAGUAGAGGAGCUGUGCCUAGAGGCAGACUUAAAUUACAACGGCCAUUUGUUUUCCAGUUUCUACAACUUUCACCUUUGUGCAUCCGCUACCAGCCUUUGUCUUCUGGCAUGAUUUGCACCCAGACUUAUCCAGCAUUGCGAUGUAACCCUCCUCAAAUCAUAGAGUCGAUGACAAAGAACGAGGUGAAAAAUAAAACAUUUAAGAUCCAAAGGUCAGAGCAGAGUUUUCUAAGAUGGCAGUCUACAUGUCACAAAAACUUUGCAUAAGAGUAAUUUCACAAAUGUGAAAUACGUUUUCUCAAUGCCACACCACACCUCACUCCCCAAGUUCAUGCCAGUUCAUAAUGCUCGUUUCACGCUUUGCACGGCUUUAUAAGUUCUUUCUCGGUAAGAAAGAGAAACCGCCCCACCUCCUUCCCUUUUCUUAUGAAAUAUAUUUUACACAGUGACUGACAUGACUGUGAAUGCAGAUUGUAUGGAAAAUAAUGCCUGUAAUUUCUGACUGCUACCUUCACUCAGAGCUGGAUAUAGGGAGCGUUUAGACAUAGCUGGAAAAAAUGUGUUCGGUACUACUUUUUCUUUUUCAGAAAAUGGUUGAUGGGUGGGAAUUCAAAGUUUAUUCUAGAAUGCAGAUCUAUUCAAAAUGGACCUUUGACAGACCAUUCCCUCAGACCCUCUUCAUAUUCACCGCUAAUCCCCUUUUCUCUUUUAUAACAACAAUCAUACAUAUUCUCCUCAUUUCCUGCCCCUACUACCUCAAUUCUUUUUAGACGUUUUGAUGCCAAAGUAUUCUUCAUUUUCUUGCUCACUAGGAACAAAUUAAAUCAGUCUGAGGACUGGGAUACUUGGCCAUUCUAGGUUCCUAUGCAAUGGAUUGAAAAAAAAUCCAUGUAAUGAACUCUGAUUGGAUUUAUUUUUGGAUUCUAGUUUUUAAAUUACACUGGAGACACCACGAGUCAACUUAUUAUGCCUAGGGCUUUAUGUUAGAACUUGAAGGUCAGGGGUUGGAGGCUGUGUCUUCUGGUCACCAACAUCACUCCCAACAUUUAUUCUCUAG
ensembl:lncRNA